rnacentral:rRNA from 1 species
AGUGGCAAACGGCUGAGUAACGCGUAGGAACCUACCCCAAACUCGAGUAUAGCCCCGCGAAAGCGGGGGUAAUCCUCGAUAGUCCGUGAAGUAUUUUACUUCACGGUAAAGCUUUUGCGGUUUGGGAUGGGCCUGCGUCCUAUCAGGUAGUUGGUGAGGUAAGUGCUCACCAAGCCUAUGACGGGUAGCUGGUCUGAGAGGAUGGUCAGCCAGACUGGGACUGCGACACGGCCCAGACUCCUACGGGAGGCAGCAACUAGGAAUUGUGCGCAAUGGACGAAAGUCUGACGCCGCGACAUCGCGUGGAGGAUGAAGGUCUUCGGAUUGUAAACUCCUUUUCUUACCGAACAAGUUCUGAGUGUAGGUAAGGAAUAAGUGCCUGCUAACCACGUGCCAGAAGCAUCGGUAAUACGUGGGGCACGAGCGUUAUCCGGAUUUACUGGGCGUACAGAGAAGCGUAGGCGGCUCGAUAAGUUUGGUGUUAAAUCUUCCGGCUCAACCGGAAACAAGCACCGAAAACUAUCGAGAUUGAGUCGAGUAGGGAACAGGGGAAUUCCUGGUGGAGCGGUUACAUGCGUAGAUAUCAGGGGGAAUACCAAGGGCGAAGGCACCUCUUUGGACUCGUUACUGACGCUGAGGCUCGAAAGCGUGGGUAAGCCAAACGGAUUAGAUACCCGUGUAGUCCAAGCCGUAAACGAUCCCUGUUAGAUGUAUGUUUUGUC